rnacentral:lncRNA from 1 species
AUUAUUCUUUUUUCAAUAUUUCAAAAUAUAUUAUAUUAAAUCUAAAUUUUUAAAAUACAAAUUCAAAUAUAACAUCAAAUUUAUAUAUAUAUAUAUAUAUAUUAUAUAUAAUACAAAAUAAAUUCGGGUUUGGGUCGGGUUCGGGUUCGGGUUCGGGUCGGGUACAAUCAAAAUCCAUAUUCGAAUCCAUGUCCGCCGGAUUUCUAUUUUUUAUAUCCAUAUCCGAAUUCAUAUCCAUAUCCAUCGGAUAUAUCCAUUUCAUUCGGGUUCGGGUUCGGAUAAAAUUUCGAACAUUCCUACUUCCACGUAAAA